GAGAGGAGGCGAAGGAAGGAAGGGGGAAGUCCUGCGGCGGCUCCCCCUUCCCGGCAGACUGCGAUGAGCGCGUCUCGGGGGGCGUCGGCAUGGCAUCCUUCAAGCCCUUCGGCCAGGCUGGGCCGAGAGAAGACGAGGAGGACGGAGGCGACCUGGACCGAUCUCUCCAGCAGAUGCUUCGCGCGAUAGUGGAGGAGAGGAACCGCGUCAACAUCCGCCAGGAGAUCAGCGGGCUGGGUUGUUUCAAAGAUGACCGCAUUGUAUUCUGGACUUGGAUGUUUUCCACUUACUUUAUGGAGAAAUGGGCCCCCCGGCAAGAUGACAUGCUCUUCUAUGUCCGAAGGAAACUGUCAUACGUUGGUGGAGACAAUACAGAUGGGAAGAAGCAGGUUGAAGUGGAAGUGUACCGCAGGGAUUCUAAAAAGCUGCCUGGCCUGGGAGAUCCAGAUAUCGACUGGGAGGAAAGUGUCUGCUUGAACCUUAUCCUGCAAAAGCUGGAUUACAUAGUGACUUGUGCGGUGUGUACUCGUUCAGAUGGAGGGGAUAUCCACAUUCAUAAAAAGAAAUCCCAGCAAGUCUUUGCAUCUCCAAGUAAGCACCCUAUGGAUAGCAAAGGGGAGGAAUCGAAGAUCAGCUAUCCAAACAUAUUUUUUAUGAUUGACAACUUUGAAGAGGUGUUCAGCGAUAUGACUGUAGGAGAAGGUGAGAUGGUCUGUGUGGAGCUGGUGGCCAGUGACAAAAGCAACACCUUCCAAGGAGUCAUCUUCCAGGGAUCGAUCCGCUAUGAAGCCCUCAAGAAGGUCUAUGACAAUAGGGUAAGCGUUGCAGCAAAAAUGGCACAAAGGAUGUCCUUUGGCUUUUACAAAUACAAUAAUAUGGAAUUUGUGCGAAUGAAAGGGCCACAAGGAAAAGGACACGCGGAAAUGGCCGUGAGUCGCGUUUCAACUGGUGACACGUCUCCCUGUGGGACAGAGGAAGAUUCAAACCCAAGUUCGCCUCUACAUGAGAGAGUCACUUCAUUCAGCACACCUCCAACUCCGGAACGCAACAACCGCCCUUCCUUCUUCUCCCCAUCCCUCAAAAGGAAAGUGCCGCGGAAUCGAAUUGCUGAAAUGAAGAAAUCCCAUUCUGCCAAUGACAGUGAAGAGUUCUUUAGGGAUGAUGAUAGUGGAGCCUUGUUGUAUUUUGGCAGAUCUGCACAACGCAACAAACCUACGCUCGCGGUCUUUGUCUGGAACGGGAAGAUCUCUGGUGGGCUCAUGGCUGAAGCUAAACAGAACAGAUGAAAACUUCCUUCUCUAUGCACAUCUAACCUACGUCACAUUGCCAUUGCAUCGGAUCUUAACAGAUAUUCUGGAGGUGCGGCAGAAACCGAUUCUGAUGACAUAGCAGAGAGCUGGGCACUGCCUUGGAAGCCAUGCAGCCAAGUGCCUAAAAACAACAACUACAGUGCUCUUCUGUCACAGCAGCACCACCUAGCGUCAGAAACUUAACAUAACACUGAAAAAAGGGAUGUUUUGGGAAUUACCAGCCAGCCAUUCAAAAAGUGCCUCUUCCUUCCUCCCUCUGCUAUACAUACUAUAUACUCCCUUUAAAAAACAACAACAAAAAAAGACUACAUCUCUUUAUAGUUAUUACUGGCAGAAAUAACUUGACCAAUAAAGAAGACAAAGGGGGAAAUAAAGAACAAAAAGAACCCCCAACAACACAAAAGUUGGGGCUGUGUUUAAAACUAUGCUUUAUGAACCAUUUGUUACAGUGUUUACUUCAUAACUGAAAACCAACCAACCUGUACAGAAUGUAUUAACCUUUAUAUAUUUCGAGAGAAAUGUCCAUAGGAUUUCAUACUGAUGUACCAAUGAACUUCAAUGAACUUCUGAGAGAUGGUUGAGAACA